UGGCGGACGGGUGAGUAAUGUCUGGGAAACUGCCCGAUGGAGGGGGAUAACUACUGGAAACGGUAGCUAAUACCGCAUAACGUCGCAAGACCAAAGAGGGGGACCUUAGGGCCUCUUGCCAUCGGAUGUGCCCAGAUGGGAUUAGCUAGUAGGUGGGGUAAUGGCUCACCUAGGCGACGAUCCCUAGCUGGUCGGAGAGGAUGACCAGCCACACUGGAACUGAGACACGGUCCAG
rnacentral:rRNA from 1 species